CGGCGGGCGGGGAGACGCGCCCGACUGCGGCCGGGAUCGCUCCCGCUCGCCCCUACGACUGACUCCUCCGGCUCACCGUCUUCCCUCUGGGAGGAAGGGGCGGGACUUCCUGUCUUCCCGUCGAGCGACUUCCGGCGGCUCCCAGGACGACUCUGUCGUGAACCGAUCGCCGGACACUACAGCCAAAACACAGCCUCUUGGGACUGGCGCAGUAAAACCCACGUCGAGCGCCCCAUUUUUUGGUUGCCCCGAAUGGCUAAGGGACCUGUGUACCGCCGUGUUUUCGGUACAUCAGCUCCUGCCGGAAGUCCCUUGGAGAUGAAGCCGGAAGUCCCUCCCUCCCCAAGAGAGGAGGAAGUGGCUGUCCAGAAGCCUCAGCCUCCCCGGAUCUCACCGCUCGUAGAAGCGGGGCUCCACUCUACACCCCAGUCGGGCUUUUCCACUCUGCCACCCUGACUUAGUAAUGAUCAGCUCAAAGUUGUAGAGAAACAUGGCGUAAAACUAGAUUCUGUCUUCAGAGUUCCAUUGAAAUGUACUUGAAAAUGUAGUGCUUAUGAAUACAAUCUUUUAAUGUCUUUCAACAGUGUCAUUCUAUGACAAGAUGAUAAAUUUCUCAACAACAGUAGCUAGGGCAAUUCGCCAUGUGGGUUAGGCAUUCUGUUGGUCUUCGGGUGAUGAAUCUUGCUCCCUUUCUCACCUUGGGGAUUUAGUUAACAUUUCAUCUUUGAGCCAUGAAGUCGAAUCUGAGUUUAUUUUUCAGUUCCAUUAUGCAUUAUUUUGCUGAGACAGGACCAUUUACAUCACAUCGUCACCUUAAGAAAGUCAAUUUAGCCUCAU